rnacentral:lncRNA from 1 species
AUGAAGGAACUGGAAACUACAAUAAACACAACACAAAUAGAAAUAGCAAAGAAAGAAGACAACUCCAGGAUACUUGAAACUGAAGCACAAGCAAUCCUUAGACAUCUUCAAACAUUGUCUGAUGCAAAUGCUAAAGAAAAACUGGCAUUAAUGGAGGAUGCUACAAAGCUGAAGAGACUGGCUGACAUCAGUACCCAGGAAGUUUCAAAUAAAGAAGCAGAACUGCUAAAAAUUCAGCAAGAAGUACAGCAGACUAUAAAUGCAGUGAAGGAAAAAGAGCAUGAUGUCCAAAUUUGGGAAUCACAGCUUCAGCAGCAGAUUCAGCAACACCAAGAUAUGGAGCAGAAACUUACAAAAAGCAGAUCAGAAUAUAUACAGCUGCAGGCACUACUCCAUCAGCUAGAAGAGAAAUUCCUGACCAGUUCCCAGUCCACUCAACAGCAGAUAGCUAAAGAACUUCGUGAAGAAGCUGAAAAAUUAAAGCAAGCCCUCAAGGAAAUGGGACUUUCAACUGAUGAAGACAAAUACUUGCGGAACAAGAUGGCAGAAGAUUGUGGGCAUCUGACAAGAGAAAAUAGUCUCCUCCAGGCUCAAGUGCUGAAAGCCACAAAGCAACUCAAUAGAGAGAGACAGCUGAGAGAGGAGGAGAGUAGCUCCUAUUCAAGAGAGGUCUCUGAAAUGGCUUCAGGAAGAGAGAGAGAACGGAAACUAGAGAUGGAGCUCACCUACUUGAAGGCAUUACUACAGGAUGAAAAGCAGAAAAAUUGUAAAGCACAGGAUAAGGUACUUCAUCUGCAGCAAGAAAGAAGGUCUGUGGAUCAAAAUGGACAGUUGCUUCAGGCAGAACUAACAAAUUUAGAAGAAAGACACGCUGCAAUUCAACUGGAAAAUUCUAAGCUACACACAGAAAAAACUGUUUUGGUAGAACAUAUUUCUCAUUUACAUGAACAGAUUGCUGAAAAGGAAAAGGACAUGAAUUUUCUGCAAAGCCAAGUUAACUGUUUGUCCAGUGACCUCAACCAUUUGAAGUCUCAAGUUAAUGUGGCAUCUGUACUGCAGAGAGAAAAUGGAAAGAGUCCUCCCCAUGUUUCAACAGCAAAACAUGCAUCGAUGAACUAA